UACGUAGGUCCCGAGCGUUGUCCGGAUUUAUUGGGCGUAAAGCGAGCGCAGGUGGUUUAUUAAGUCUGGUGUAAAAGGUAAUGGCUCAACCAUUGUAUGCAUUGGAAACUGGUAGACUUGAGUGCAGGAGAGGAGAGUGGAAUUCCAUGUGUAGCGGUGAAAUGCAUAGAUAUCACGCAGAACUCCGAUUGCGAAGGCAGCGCACCGGCGCCCUACUGACGCUCAGGCACGAAAGCGUGGGUAUCGAACAGG
rnacentral:rRNA from 1 species